rnacentral:rRNA from 1 species
UCCACAGCCAUAUCACCCUGCAGCCCAAGACUGGUUGCCCACUGAAGCUAAGCAGGGUUGAGCCUGGUGAGUACCUGGAUGGGAGACCUCCUUGGAAAACGAGGUUGUUGUUGGAA